GGGGAAUAUUGCGCAAUGGGCGAAAGCCUGACGCAGCAACGCCGCGUGCGGGAUGAAGGCCUUCGGGUUGUAAACCGCUUUCAGUAGGGACGAAAUUGACGGUACCUACAGAAGAAGCCCCGGCCAACUACGUGCCAGCAGCCGCGGUAACACGUAGGGGGCGAGCGUUGUCCGGAUUUAUUGGGCGUAAAGAGCUCGUAGGCGGUUCAGUAAGUCAGGUGUGAAACCUCCAGGCUCAACCUGGAGACGCCACUUGAUACUGCUGUGACUUGAGUCCGGUAGGGGAGUGUGGAAUUCCUGGUGUAGCGGUGAAAUGCGCAGAUAUCAGGAGGAACACCUAUGGCGAAGGCAGCACUCUGGGCCGGCACUGACGCUGAGGAGCGAAAGCGUGGGUAGCAAAC
rnacentral:rRNA from 1 species